rnacentral:rRNA from 1 species
UACGUAGAAGACUAGUGUUAUUCAUCUUUAGUAGGUUUAAAGGGUACCUAGACGGUAUAAUUAGUCUUUAAUAGGAAACGGUUAUACUAGAGUUAUAUAUGAGAAGGUGAGUAUUUGUGGAGUAGAGUUGAAAAUUCUUUGAUACCAUGACGACUGGUAAAGGCGAAAGCAACCUUUUAUCUAAUAACUGACGUUGAGGGACGAAGGCUCGGGUCGCGAACAGG